NUAACUAUAAGCCGAAAGGCCAGUUGUAGUUAUUAAAUUUGGCUAUAUGCUGGAAACACUCAAGUAUCCGGUAGUAGUCGCCUCAGGCGACUAAAAAUCUAUCCGGUGGAGUCAAUCAGCAGGAAAGAUCCCGAUUUGAUCGGGGAAUCCUCAGAGACUAUACGCCAAAGUACAUUCAGUUAAUAUGAACGUACAUGAUAUAGUCCGACCUUUACAGCGAUGUAAAG
rnacentral:ncRNA from 1 species